rnacentral:lncRNA from 1 species
UUCUUGUCUUAUUUUUUCCCUGGUAACUUUUAAUGGCUUAAAUAAUACAGAUUCACCCUGAGCUAUCAUCUGCUGCCAAUCUUCCUCUAUUUUGUAUGUGAGCCACCCUCACAGCAUGGCCACUUAUAGUCCCCUUCCACGGCCCUGAGAGAAGGAGGGAGACUGGUGGCCUUUAAAGGAAAAGACUCAGAGAUUUGAACGGUUGCCAGGCGGCCUCCAGGAAGAAGCAGCUGGGAGAAGCAGGACGGCACUGGACGCUUGGCAGAGAAAGACCCUGGGCAAGAGACUGGGGGUAAAGAUUUGGAGAUGAAAUAGCAAAGCGCUGAUCUAACUCAGGGCUGGCCCAAGCUGUUCCCAAGAGGGGCCCCUCAUCUUUACGAGAAUCUCUUGAGUGUCUGACUGUCUCGCUUGAUGCAGACCCAGGGUUGUAGUAGUGGCUACAUUUAUCCCAAAACAAUGAAAAGCCAACCACAAAGUUCCCCCAGCUCCCAGCCAUGCUGACACGGAAGGGAGAGGCUGUGGAAGAUGGCACUGGAUGUCCGAUGGCCCAGCCUGGUGGUGAAGGAUGUCACUUCUGCCUAUAUUCCGUUUCCCGCACUCAAUCAUGUGGUCCACGCCAUGCUGCACAGGCAGUUUGAGGAUGUGGUCUUCCCACCUGGCCAAGAUAAGGGAUGGGAAAAACUCUGGUAACAACAAGGGUCCCUGGAGAAGCCAGUCGGGGUAUCAGUGAUGGAGGGCCCAGAAAUUGUUGAGGAAUAUACUCUCUGCACAGCCAAGCCCGUUAGGAGAGACCGGCCCAUCCCCAGCUCCAGGUGGUAGAUUCCAGUUUGUCUAAAUUAGUCCAGUUCUCCUUGCUGGUGAUGGGGUUAGGCACAGACAGGUGACAAAAGCUUUUCUGGAUAUUGCUAUGCCAGAAUAUAGUGCCUGCAAGUGCUUUAUCUACCUAGCAAACUUGAGAGGCGCUAGCCCAAGGACAAAACUGAUACAGAGACAGGGAAGAGCCAAAAGAGACCCAAAGAAGCAGAGCUGUCACAAUUUGAGACUCCUUGUUAUGUGGAACAAUAGAUGCCCUUAUUGAUUAUGCCUUUCAAGUCAGGUUUCCAUCAUUUGUUGCCGAAAUCUUCCAGAUACGAUGACAUAUCUAGAGUGAUCAGGCACGGACAACAUCACCCUCUGGGAAGCUUUGUGACCUCAACAAGCACGAAAAGAUCAGCCAGGCUUUUUAGAAGAAUUCUGAGCUUGAAUCUUCGGUCAACUCUAGAAGCUGCUAAUGGUAGUUUGCUAACACCAAAUUCUGUGAAUCCUGAUAACUCCCUUAUUAAGCUACUGCUAAGGCGCCCUUCCAAGUGCGUGUAAAAUGAAGGUUUCAGAGGCAAAGGAAGGACAUCCAUUUUGGGACCAGGUCUCGGCAGAGAGUGGAAUCUAAACAACAAUUUGGAAACACCACUGCCCUAAAAAUAACUGGGGAUAUCCCACUAUGGUGGAGGGGCUGGCGGGUAACGUUUCCCACAAUAAGAAUUCCCGGUGAUAGCUAACCUGCUAUUUGUUGAAUAUGAGCUACAGCUAAAACACACUGCUAAAUGCUAACUACCAGGGGACAGUUUAUUAUCGUGAUGGCGAUUUAUAAGAGACUCUCAUAAACUCACUCGCGCUCAGAACGCACAGACCAGUGAAAAGUUCUUCCCCGCUCCUCUCCUGAUAGCUACGUGUAGACUUUCCCCCAGACGCUUGUCAACAUUCUUCAUUAAAAAUUUGGAUUCUCUCAUCAAAGCCAGCAGUCUGUUCUCUUUGAUUGCCCGUAAACCAGUGGUACUGUUUCAUUCUUUCUUUGUAUUCUCUCUGAAGAGAGUUGGUGAAAAUUUACAUAAUUUUAAUUGAAAGAUAGUUAGUCAUCAUGUGUGGGAAGGAAACGGCUGCCUAGAGUGGGUCUGGGACCCCGGGAAGCUGUCCUGUGCUCUUUUCCUUUGCUGUGCUGGCUUCUUCUCUGUGCUUUAACAUAAAACGUUUGUGAAACGAACCAAAAACGAAGUUGAGAAUUCAUCUUGUCUCAAGGAAUGAUGUUAAUUUGGCUCUUUUAGGUUACAAGGAAUACAGACAUCCUCUUACUUCAGAUGAUGACAUUAAGAGAAAGAAAGAAAACAGAGGAAUUGGGAAAUACAUCAGUGACUGGACAGCCACUUACCAGUCAAGACACAGCACCAGCACUAACGACCCAAUGAGAACUCUGGGGACCAGGCAUCUUCUUGUCUCGGAAGUGGACAUCUGUCACUCCCUCCUUGUGAUCCCCACACUGGUGACUUUGUUUCUUUCACACAUGAUUUGUCCACCUGCUGCCUCUGAAAGUUAGUGUCACUAUAUAUAGAAUUCUAGGUUGAAUGCUGGUGUUUUUUCGUUCAGCACUUAAAAUGAUCAUUUCAUUGUCUUCUGUCUUGUAUUAUUUCUGAUGAGAAGUCAGUCAUCAUUCUUGACAUUCCAUUUUUUAAAAAUCUCUUUUCAAUCUCUGACUCAGUUGGAUAAUAUCUAUAACUGCUGUUCAAGUUCAUUAAUGUUUUCUUUCUUUCUUUGUUUUUUUUUGGUGAGGAAGAUUGGCCCUGAGCUAAGUUCUGUUGCCAAUCUUCUUUUUUUCCCCUGCCCACAGCCCCAGUACCUAGUUGUCUGUCCUAGCUGUAGGUCCUUCCAGUUCUUCUAUGUGGGACACUGCCUCAGCAUGGCUUGAUGAGCGAUGGUAGGCAAACCCCAGGCUGCUGAAGUGGAGUGUGUGAACCUAACCACUACACCACUGGGCAGGCCCCACUAAUGUUGGCUUUUGAGGAUUCAAACUGCUGUUAAUAUCAUCUAGUGAACUUUUUAUUUCAGGCAUUGCAUUUUAUCAUGCUAGAAUUUCCAUUUUCUCCUUUUUUAGUGUUCACUUUUCUUGCCUGAGAUACCCCUAUCUCUUACAUUCACCUUUCUCUGUAAAUUCUUAAAAAUGUUUAUAAUAAUUGUUUUAAAAUUCUUCUUCAUUCCAAUAACUGGGGUUAACGGCCGGUCUGCCUCUAUUGACCAUGCUUUCUCUUGACUGUUGGUCAGUGUCUCCUGUUUGUUUGCAUGCCUCAUAAAUUUUUACUGUAUCUCAUAAACGUGUAUACAAAGACAGUGAAGACUGAAGUAUAAUAAUCUUCACAUUUUAUUUCUCAGAGAAUGCAGGCCCUUUCUCUCUGUCUGGCAGGCUGAAGGGCCAAUUAUUCACAUUCCUUCUGGAGUCAGAUUGACCCGGAUCUGGGCUGAAGUUUUAAUUAGAUUGAGAUUAUUUAUGCUUAGACGGACCCCCCAACUCGCACACUACUGCUGUCUUUUUGACAUUACCAAUAUUUGAGCUGAUGGUCUUCCAUUUUAAAUAUUUUUCAUUUACUUUGGAUUCAAGUCAGCAGAACCCUGGAAUCCAAGCUCUGUGGGAAUUCGGGGUUCUUGGUGACUUUGCUCUGCAUUUUAGUCCUUUCUUGUCUGAUUCUUUUCGGUCAAAGUUUGAGGGGAGAAGUUGUUGGGACCAUUUGUUUUUGUAAUUGGGACACUUCCACAUUUCGGAUUCACCUCUCUAGCCUCCACCACCAUCAGAGGCUCAGCUGAUUUCUUCUCCUUCCUGCAAAGUCCCUGCCAUACCUAAACCACAAACUCUUCCCUGGGGGUCGGCUGUCCUGACUCUCCGUUUGCCAGCGGAGGGCUCGUUUCUCAGAAACUCAGUUCAGUAAGCCUCCCUUUGUCCCAGAUCUUUCUUAGCCCCUUCGAAAAGUGUGAUUUUUAUAUGUCUGGGUUUUUGUUGGUGUUACCACGUGAACAAAGAUGUUUCAAGUCCUACCUUCUAACCUGAAGUGGAUGUCAGAAUCAAAGAUUUGAAUUUUUAAAAAUAUAACCAUAGGAUCACUAGAAAAAAAUAUGGGAUAAUUUAUUUUACAAUUUGGAAUGGAGAAAGUCCUUUCAAAGCAGGACGCAAACCUCAGAGCCUCAGAAAUCAUAGGGUGAUUUAAGCUCCCUCUUUCUGUCUCUCUCUCUCAUAUGCGUGAUGCGUGAGAUAUAUAGAUGUAUAUAUUCAUAGAUAUAGAUAUGGAUCUAUAUAUCUCUUCAACUUCAGUAUAGUAAAAUAUACCAAAGACAGAUGACAAACUGAGAAAGAAAUAUUUGCAACACAUAAGACAAAGAUUGCUUCAAAAAAACAUGUUGAGAUUUUUUAAUAAAUAAUUUUAGAAGGGAAAUGGAAAAGGCAGAUAGUUCACAUAAAAAUCAUCAUAAAUAGAUUGUCAACAUGGAAAGAUGCUCCCACUCACUGAAAAUUAAGAACUACGACGGGGGCCGGCUCUGUGGUCCAGUGGUUAAGUUCGUGUGCUCCGCUGCGGCGGCCCAGGGUUCAGACCCUGGGCGCGGACAUGGCACCGCUCAUCAGGCCAUGUUGAGGUUGCGUCCCACAUCCCACAACUAGAAGGACCUGCAACUAAGAUAUACAACUGUGUACCCGGGGGGUUUGGGAAAUAAAGCAGAAAAAAAAAAAAAAAAGAUUGGCAACAGUUGUUAGCCCAGGUGCCAAUCUUUAAAAAAAAAAAAAAAACUACGACGUGGACUGGACACUGUUUUCGCCUGUCACCUUGACACAGCUAGGUGCCAGGGUCUGGGAAGCCAGCAGUCGCACACACUGUGGAGGGGGGUGGAAAUUAGCACAGCGUCCUUAGAUGUGUUUGUUUCACGUUCUCUUAAGAGUGUUUUUUGUCAAUCUCUAACAAAAUUAGAAAAUUAAUAUGACCUUUGACCCAGCAAUUUCAGUUCCUAGGAAUUUAUUCUACAGAUAUGCCUAAAAUGCACAUAAGGAUGUGUGCAAAAGCGUAAUGAUUGCCGCAUUGUUGACAAGAGCAAAAACUGAAAACAACUAAUAUCCGUAAUGCGGGGCUGGUUAAAAAUUUAUGGCAUAUCAUCUCAACGGAAUGCUCCAAAGCUAGAAGGAAAUUCAGAGCCGUGUGUGCCGAGAUAGAAAGAUUACCAAGGUAUAUGGCCAAGUGCAAAAACCAAGACAUAGAAUAAUAUGAUUUAUAUGCCCUCAUUUAUAUAAAAAGAGGAGAUCAAUGGAUGUGUGUACAGGACAAUGUCUGGAAGGUACACAGGGAAUUGUUGAGGAGCGGGAUUAGGAGUCUGGGUUGGAAGGGGGUUUGUUUUUCAUUUUAAACUGCCCUAUUAUUUGAAUUUUUUUAAAAUCAAGGACCGUGUUAUUUUUAUAAAAUAAAGGAAGUCAUCACUAUGCUAUGAAAUAGGGCCUUUAGCAAUGUUUAUUACUUACUGACUUAUAUGGGUGUUGUAUCACAGACGGUGUCAUAUUCCCUUUUGAAUAUUCUCAGAGUCCAUUCUAGAGAGAGCCUUUCACACAGGAGAAACAAGGUGUGAACAAAGGAGCAAAUGAAACUAUGAAUUUAUUGACAGCCCGUGCGAGAUAUGCAAGUUGGCAGAAUCUACUGAUAAUCUCAAACCACCUUCUUCAGUGGUCCAGAUAAUGACCUAUUUUGCUGACCCGAAGUCAGAGCUACUACUCAUAAAGGCUUUGAAAAAACAUCAAUGAACAUUCGCUUUUGGGUGGGGCUAAGCCAUCAUUCUAGAAGAAAAAACGAUCUCUUGUCUUGUGUGAACCGCAACGGUAUUUUGGAAAUCACGGAACACUGGGCUGGGAAGCAAGUCUGAGUUCCGUAAUAAAUACUAACUAGCAUACAACCUGAAGUGAGUUACUGUUCCUGUUCCGGCUUCAUCUGUGACACGGUGACUGAUGGCUAAG